UACGAAGGGGGCUAGCGUUGCUCGGAAUGACUGGGCGUAAAGGGCGCGUAGGCGGCGGCCACAGUCAGAUGUGAAAUUCCUGGGCUUAACCUGGGGGCUGCAUUUGAUACGUGGUUGCUUGAGUGGGGAAGAGGGUCGUGGAAUUCCCAGUGUAGAGGUGAAAUUCGUAGAUAUUGGGAAGAACACCGGUGGCGAAGGCGGCGACCUGGUCCUUUUACUGACGCUGAGGCGCGAAAGCGUGGGGAGCAAACAGG
rnacentral:rRNA from 1 species